GCUUGUCUCAAAGAUUAAGCCAUGCAUGUCUAAGUAUAAACAAAUUUAUAGUGAAACUGCGAAUGGCUCAUUAUAUCAGUUAUAGUUUAUUUGGCGAUAAAAACUACUUGGAUAACCGUAGUAAUUCUAGAGCUAAUACAUGCAUCAUCCCCCAUCUCGGGGUGUAUUUAUUAGAUGGAAACCAAUGCGGGGCAACCCGGAAUAUGGUGAAUCAUAAUAACUGUUCGAAUCGCACGGGCAACCGGCGAUAGUUCAUUCAAAUUUCUGCCCUAUCAGCUUUCGACGGUAGUGUAGUGGACUACCGUGGCGUUAACGGGUAACGGAGAAUUAGGGUUCGAUUCCGGAGAGGGAGCCUGAGAAACGGCUACCACAUCCAAGGAAGGCAGCAGG
rnacentral:rRNA from 1 species